rnacentral:rRNA from 1 species
UACGGAGGGGGCGAGCGUUAUUCGGAAUUAUUGGGCGUAAAGGGCGCGUAGGCGGCCGGAUAAGUCAAAGGUGAAAUCCCUCGGCUCAACUGAGGAACUGCCUUUGAAACUGUUUGGCUCGAGUCCGGGAGGGGGUAGCGGAAUUCCCAGUGUAGCGGUGAAAUGCGUAGAUAUUGGGAGGAACACCAGUGGCGAAGGCGGCUACCUGGACCGGAACUGACGCUGAUGCGCGAAAGCGUGGGGAGCGAACAGG